UAACAACGAACGGCAAGAAGUCAGCAGAGGCCAUAGUACCGGAAAAAAAUAUUCGGGAAGGGC
rnacentral:ncRNA from 1 species